rnacentral:rRNA from 1 species
UACAGAGGGGGCAAGCGUUGUUCGGAAUUACUGGGCGUAAAGCGCGUGUAGGCGGCUAAGUAAGUCGGGCGUGAAAUCCCACGGCUCAACCGUGGAAGUGCACUCGAAACUGCAUAGCUAGAGUCCUGGAGAGGAAGGUGGAAUGCUUGGUGUAGAGGUGAAAUUCGUAGAUAUCAAGCGGAACACCGGUGGCGAAGGCGGCCUUCUGGACAGUGACUGACGCUGAGACGCGAAAGCGUGGGGAGCAAACAGG